rnacentral:rRNA from 1 species
CCAGACUCCUACGGGAGGCAGCAGUGAGGAAUAUUGGUCAAUGGGCGGAAGCCUGAACCAGCCAAGUCGCGUGAGGGACUAAGGCCCUGCGGGUCGUAAACCUCUUUUGCCGGGGAGCAGUGGUCCGGACGCGUCCGGACCGGGAGAGUACCCGGAGAAAAAGCAUCGGCUAACUCCGUGCCAGCAGCCGCGGUAAUACGGAGGGUGCGAGCGUUAAUCGGAAUUACUGGGCGUAAAGCGCACGUAGGCUGUAUGACAAGUCAAGGGUGAAAUGCCACGGCUCAACCGUGGAACUGCCUUUGAAACUGUCAAACUGGAGUAUGUGAGAGGGCGGCGGAAUUCCUGGUGUAGGAGUGAAAUCCGUAGAUAUCAGGAGGAACAUCAGUGGCGAAGGCGGCCGCCUGGCACAAAACUGACGCUGAGGUGCGAAAGCGUGGGUAGCAAACAGGAUUAGAUACCCUCGUACC